UGCAGUCGAACGGUAACAGGAAUAGCUUGCUAUUUGCUGACGAGUGGCGGACGGGUGAGUAAUGCUUGGGAACUUGCCUUUGGGAGGGGGAUAACAGUUGGAAACGACUGCUAAUACCGCAUAACGUCUACGGACCAAACGGGGCUUUUAGCUCCGGCCUGAAGAGAGGCCCAAGUGAGAUUAGCUAGUUGGUGGGGUAAAGGCUCACCAAGGCGACGAUCUCUAGCUGUUCUGAGAGGAAGAUCAGCCACACUGGGACUGAGACACGGCCCAGACUCCUACGGGAGGCAGCAGUGGGGAAUAUUGCACAAUGGGGGAAACCCUGAUGCAGCCAUGCCGCGUGUGUGAAGAAGGCCUUCGGGUUGUAAAGCACUUUCAGUUGUGAGGAAAGGUUGGUAGUUAAUACCUGCCAGCUGUGACGUUAACAACAGAAGAAGCACCGGCUAACUCCGUGCCAGCAGCCGCGGUAAUACGGAGGGUGCGAGCGUUAAUCGGAAUUACUGGGCGUAAAGCGGACGCAGGCGGUUUGUUAAGCUAGAUGUGAAAGCCCCGGGCUCAACCUGGGAUGGUCAUUUAGAACUGGCAGACUAGAGUCUUGGAGAGGGGAGUGGAAUUCCAGGUGUAGCGGUGAAAUGCGUAGAUAUCUGGAGGAACAUCAGUGGCGAAGGCGACUCCCUGGCCAAAGACUGACGCUCAUGUCCGAAAGUGUGGGUAGCGAACAGGAUUAGAUACCCUGGUAGUCCACACCGUAAACGCUGUCUACUAGCUGUGUGUGAAUUUAAUUCG
rnacentral:rRNA from 1 species